GCCUGUGCUGAACCACUUAAAGCUCCUCGACUAACAACGUGAUUAUUGUUGCUCACAUGAUUGUUUAUGCCAGGAUGUAAUGCCAUCAGCUUAUUAAGGGUGUUCCUGUCAGUUGGCAGGCCCUGAACAUUCACUAGCUGCUCCAUUUCCUGCAUCUUUUGCAUCUGGAUUUUGGUUACACUGUUGUGACGAGGAUAAUUUUUCAAGCCCUCUAUCGGCCCAAAUUUUUGCUCCCGGCAGAAAUCAAUCAGAUCCUUCAUGCUGUUGACAACCUCAGAGAUCUGUAAACACCU
rnacentral:misc_RNA from 1 species